GGGAAACUCACCAGGUCCAGACAUGACUAGGAUUGACAGAUUGAUAGCUCUUUCAUGAUUUUAUGGGUGGUGGUGCAUGGCCGUUCUUAGUUGGUGGAGUGAUUUGUCUGGUUAAUUCCGAUAACGAACGAGACCUUAACCUGCUUAAUAGCCAGGCCGGCUUUUGCUGGUCGCCGGCUUCUUAGAGGGACUGUCUGCGUCUAGCAGACGGAAGUUUGAGGCAAUAA
rnacentral:rRNA from 1 species